rnacentral:rRNA from 1 species
GACGAACGCUGGCGGCGUGCUUAACACAUGCAAGUCGAACGGAAAGGCCCUGCUUUUGUGGGGUGCUCGAGUGGCGAACGGGUGAGUAACACGUGAGUAACCUGCCCUUGACUUUGGGAUAACUUCAGGAAACUGGGGCUAAUACCGGAUAGGAGCUCCUGCUGCAUGGUGGGGGUUGGAAAGUUUCGGCGGUUGGGGAUGGACUCGCGGCUUAUCAGCUUGUUGGUGGGGUAGUGGCUUACCAAGGCUUUGACGGGUAGCCGGCCUGAGAGGGUGACCGGCCACAUUGGGACUGAGAUACGGCCCAGAAUCCUACGGGACGCAGCAGUGGGGAAUAUUGCACAAUGGGCGGAAGCCUGAUGCAGCAACGCCGCGUGCGGGAUGACGGCCUUCGGGUUGUAAACCGCUUUCGCCUGUGACGAAGCGUGAGUGACGGUAAUGGGUAAAGAAGCACCGGCUAACUACGUG